GACGAACGCUGGCGGCGUGCUUAACACAUGCGAGUCGAACGGAAAGGCCCUGCUUGCAGGGUACUCGAGUGGCGAACGGGUGAGUAACACGUGGGUGAUCUGCCCUGCACUUCGGGAUAAGCCUGGGAAACUGGGUCUAAUACCGGAUAGGAGCCAUUUUUAGUGUGAUGGUUGGAAAGUUUUUUCGGUGUAGGAUGAGCUCGCGGCCUAUCAGCUUGUUGGUGGGGUAAUGGCCUACCAAGGCGGCGACGGGUAGCCGGCCGGAGAGGGUGGACGGCCACAGUGGGACUGAGAGACGGCCCAGACUCCUACGGGAGGCAGCAGUGGGGAAUAUUGCACAAUGGGCGCAAGCCGGAUGCAGCGACGCCGCGGGGGGGAGGACGGCCUUCGGGUUGUAAACUCCGUUCGCUAGGGACGAAGCUUUUUGUGACGGUACCUAGAUAAGAAGCACCGGCUAACUACGUG
rnacentral:rRNA from 1 species